rnacentral:SRP_RNA from 2 species
GGACGGUCCCCUCGCAGCGAUAGAUAGUGAACCCCGCCAGGCCCGGAAGGGAGCAACGGUAGUUAUCGACUCGGGUGCCGGGGUGUGGCUGUUCGAG